rnacentral:rRNA from 1 species
AAUAUUUGACAAUGGGGGCAACCCUGAUCCAGCCAUGCCGCGUGUGUGUAGAAGGUCUUCGGAUUGUAAAGCACUUUAAGUUGGGAGGAAGGGCUGUAGGCUAAUACCCUGAAGUUUUGACGUUACUAACAGAAUAAGUACCGGUUAACGCUGUUCCAGCCGCCGCGGUAAUACAGAGGGUGCACGCGUUAAUUGGAAUUACUGGGCGUAAAGCGCGCGUAGGUGGUUCAGUAAGAUGGGUGUGAUAUCCCCGGGCUUAACCUGAGCACUGCUUUCAUAACUGCUGAGCUAGAGUACGGUAGAGGGUAGUGGAAUUUCCUGUGUAGCGGUGAAAUGAGUAGAUAUAGGAAGGAACACCAGUGGCGAAGGGGACUACCUGGACUGAUACUGACACUGAAGUGCGAAAGCGUGGGGAGCAAACA